rnacentral:rRNA from 1 species
GUGUCAGCAGCCGCGGUAAUACAGAGGUCCCGAGCGUUGUUCGGAUUCACUGGGCGUAAAGGGUGCGUAGGCGGCUUUGUAAGUCUGAUGUGAAAUCUCCGGGCCCAACCCGGAAAUGGCAUUAGAAACUGCAGGGCUGGAGGCUUGGAGGGGGAACUGGAAUUCUCGGUGUAGCAGUGAAAUGCGUAGAGAUCGAGAGGAACACCAGUGGCGAAGGCGAGUUCCUGGACAAGACCUGACGCUGAGGCACGAAAGCCAGGGGAGCAAACAGGAUUAGAUACCCCCGUAGUCC